CUCGUAUCCUUUCUGCUUCUAUUUUCACCCUCAGGCUGAGAUUCACAUUUUACUGAAGCAAGCUUUUCAUUGACCCCUGAUACAGAGCCUUCAAAUUGACUUCCCUGGAGGCUGGCCACUGACAGGGUCUUUACCCUCUCCUCCUUAACCAUGGACACCCCUCCUCCUUCAGCAGUUGAAAAGAACUUUUUGGACAUGAAUUACAGAAAUAAAACUUCCAUUAGUGCAGCAGUAAGAGAGAUACAGUUGUCACUAGCUUCCCAGCAGGAAGAUCAGCGCUAUUGGAGGUCAGAUCAGAUCUACAGUAGAAUGAUCCAAGUUCUAAUACCCUCGGACCAGGAAGGAUAUGCAUAUUAUAGGACCUGGGCAGUCCAGCUCUCCACUGACUUCUGCUACCCCCAUGGAUUCUGGCCAGCAGUUCUCUCUUGUGCUCCAACCACAGGCCCCACAGCACCUCCGCGCCACAAUGAUGGUGAGUGAUUGGCAACAGGGAGUCUCCAAUGAUGGAGUGAGACCUGGAGGGCCCAGCUUGCUCAGAGAACUGUUGUUUCUGGCUCCUCCCCACUAAUCACCAAAGACUUAUUGGGCUUAAACCAAAAGCAGCAGACAUACUAAGUUUAAUAUUGACCAGUUACCUCUUUGAUCAAGCAAGGUAUUUGAAACUGGUGAAUACCAGUACGUCAGAAACUUAUAUAAGGAUGCCUAAAGAAGGAACUUGGCCCACAAAACACUUGCUUCAUGUGCAUGUGGUUUUUGCUUAAAAACUAGAUAUGACUUGAAU